CAGUCGACGGUGAAGAGGAGCUUGCUCCUCUGGAUCAGUGGCGAACGGGUGAGUAACACGUGAGUAACCUGCCCUUGACUCUGGGAUAAGCACUGGAAACGGUGUCUAAUACCGGAUACGAGCUUCAGUCGCAUGACUAGGAGCUGGAAAGAAUUUCGGUCAAGGAUGGACUCGCGGCCUAUCAGCUAGUUGGUGAGGUAAUGGCCCACCAAGGCGACGACGGGUAGCCGGCCUGAGAGGGUGACCGGCCACACUGGGACUGAGACACGGCCCAGACUCCUACGGGAGGCAGCAGUGGGGAAUAUUGCACAAUGGGCGCAAGCCUGAUGCAGCAACGCCGCGUGAGGGACGACGGCCUUCGGGUUGUAAACCUCUUUUAGUAGGGAAGAAGCGAAAGUGACGGUACCUGCAGAAAAAGCACCGGCUAACUACGUGCCAGCAGCCGCGGUAAUACGUAGGGUGCAAGCGUUAUCCGGAAUUAUUGGGCGUAAAGAGCUCGUAGGCGGUUUGUCGCGUCUGCUGUGAAAACUGGAGGCUCAACCUCCAGCCUGCAGUGGGUACGGGCAGACUAGAGUGCGGUAGGGGAGAUUGGAAUUCCUGGUGUAGCGGUGGAAUGCGCAGAUAUCAGGAGGAACACCGAUGGCGAAGGCAGAUCUCUGGGCCGUAACUGACGCUGAGGAGCGAGAGCAUGGGGAGCGAA
rnacentral:rRNA from 1 species